rnacentral:rRNA from 1 species
GGAGAAAAGCAGGGGAUCGCAAGACCUUGCGCUCAUUGAGCGGCCGAUGCCUGAUUAGCUAGUUGGUGAGGUAAAGGCUUACCAAGGCGACGAUCAGUAGCUGGUCUGAGAGGACGACCAGCCACACUGGGACUGAGACACGGCCCAGACUCCUACGGGAGGCAGCAGUGGGGAAUUUUGGACAAUGGGGGAAACCCUGAUCCAGCCAUGCCGCGUGAGUGAAGAAGGCCUUCGGGUUGUAAAGCUCUUUCAGCCGGAACGAAACAGUCACGGAUAAUACCCGUGACUACUGACGGUACCGGAAGAAGAAGCACCGGCUAACUACGUGCCAGCAGCCGCGGUAAUACGUAGGGUGCGAGCGUUAAUCGGAAUUACUGGGCGUAAAGCGUGCGCAGGCGGUUUUGUAAGUCAGAAGGGAAAUCCCCGGGCUUAACCUGGGAACUGCGUUUCUAAAAGGAAGCUAGAAGGGC